UACGUAGGGUGCGAGCGUUAAUCGGAAUUACUGGGCGUAAAGCGUGCGCAGGCGGUUCGUUGUGUCGGCGGUGAAAGCCCCGGGCUCAACCUGGGAAUGGCGAUGGAUACUGGCUCGCUAGAGUGCGGUAGAGGAGAGUGGAAUUCCCGGUGUAGCAGUGAAAUGCGUAGAGAUCGGGAGGAACAUCAGUUGCGAAGGCGGCUCUCUGGACCAGCACUGACACUGAGGCACGAAAGCGUGGGGAGCAAACAGG
rnacentral:rRNA from 1 species